rnacentral:rRNA from 1 species
UACGUAGGGUGCGAGCGUUAAUCGGAAUUACUGGGCGUAAAGUGUGCGCAGGCGGCAAAGCAAGUCGAGUGUGAAAUCCCCCGGGCUCAACCUGGGGAACUGCGUUUGUGACUGUAUGACUAGAGUACGGUAGAGAGGGGUGGAAUUCCUGGUGUAGCAGUGAAAUGCGUAGAUAUCAGGAGGAACAUCGAUGGCGAACGGCAGCCCCUUGGACCUGUACUGACGCUCAUGCACGAAAGCGUGGGGAGCAAACAGG